GAUGAACGCUAGCGAUAGGCUUAACACAUGCAAGUCGAGGGGUAACAGGGUAGCAAUACUGCUGACGACCGGCGUACGGGUGAGUAACGCGUAUGUAAUCUGCCUGUAACAGGGGGAUAGCCCGAAGAAAUUCGGAUUAAUACCGCAUAAUACAAAAUCACCGCAUGGUGAUUUUGUUAAAAAUUUUAUUGGUUACGGAUGAGCGUGCGUAGGAUUAGUUAGUUGGUAAGGUAAUUGCUUACCAAGACAGCGAUCUUUAGGGGUUCUGAAAGGAAGGUCCCCCACACUGGUACUGAGAUACGGACCAGACUCCUACGGGAGGCAGCAGUGAGGAAUAUUGGUCAAUGGUCGAAAGACUGAACCAGCCAAAUCGCGUGAAGGAAGACGGUAUUAUGUAUUGUAAACUUCUUUUAUAUGGGAAUAAUAUAUAGGACGUGUCCUGUGUUUGAAUGUACCAUAUGAAUAAGCAUCGGCUAACUCCGUGCCAGCAGCCGCGGUAAUACGGAGGAUGCAAGCGUUAUCCGGAUUUAUUGGGUUUAAAGGGUGCGUAGGUGGUUUAGACAGUCAGUGGUGAAAUGUCAUUGCUUAACAAUGGAAUUGCCAUUGAAACUAUUAGACUUGAGAGUGGACGAGGUAUGCGGAAUUCGUAGUGUAGCGGUGAAAUGCAUAGAUAUUACGAAGAACUCCGAUAGCGUAGGCAGCAUACCAGGCCAUUUCUGACACUGAGGCACGAAAGUGUGGGUAUCAAACAGGAUUAGAUACCCUGGUAGUCCACACAGUAAACGAUGAAUACUGACUGUUUGCGAUAUAAUGUAAGCGGUUAAGCGAAAGCGUUAAGUAUUCCACCUGGGGAGUACGCCGGCAACGGUGAAACUCAAAGGAAUUGACGGGGACCCGCACAAGCGGAGGAACAUGUGGUUUAAUUCGAUGAUACGCGAGGAACCUUACCCGGGCUCGAACGGCUAUUGAAUGUAUGCGAAAGUGUGCAGGCCGAAAGGACAAUAGUCGAGGUGCUGCAUGGUUGUCGUCAGCUCGUGCCGUGAGGUGUCGGCUUAAGUGCCAUAACGAGCGCAACCCUUGCCGUUAGUUACUAACAAGUUAUGUUGAGGACUCUAGCGGGACUGCCGCUGUAAAGUGUGAGGAAGGUGAGGAUGACGUCAAAUCAGCACGGCCCUUACGUCCGGGGCGACACACGUGUUACAAUGGGCGGGACAAAAGGCAGCUACACAGCGAUGUGAUGCAAAUCUUCAAACCCGCUCUCAGUUCGGAUUGGAGUCUGCAACUCGACUCCAUGAAGUUGGAUUCGCUAGUAAUCGCGCAUCAGCCAUGGCGCGGUGAAUACGUUCCCGGGCCUU
rnacentral:rRNA from 1 species